AAACACUGAGUUACACCAUACAAUUCAACCGAUUCACAAACCAUUCAAAGAAUUCAAAAUCAAUCGCAACUCCUUUUAAAGCCCUAAACUACUCCCACAAAAGACACUUAGCUAAUGAGACAAUCUCCAAAACUCAUUUACAUGCCCCUUUAAAAAGAGUUUCAUUCCUAACUAACCAGAUAGACCACAAGACGAAAAAGAAGAACAAUAGUAUCCACUUUGUAGGAAUUUUAUCCUUCUAGACCA
rnacentral:lncRNA from 1 species